GAAUUUGAUUUUGUGCUCUAACACAUGGAAAAAUCAAACCCUAGGACAAGCAUACCUCACUUGCUAUUUUUUCUUACCUCUCUUCUUUUUAUUUUUUCCACUCUAUUUUUCCUUGUGUUUUCCUCAAAUUUUUUUUUUAGAUUUUUUUCUCUCUUAUCACACACCAAGAUCUCUAAUUUCUCACCAAAAUCCAGCCCUUAUCCCAUA
rnacentral:lncRNA from 1 species